rnacentral:lncRNA from 1 species
CUCACCACCGAGUCACUACAACAAUUGGAGAAGGAAAAAGUUCACGCACAAACAAGAUAUGUACACCACCUCAAGAUGGAGGUAAAGAAAAAGGAAAUGGAAGGAAACACUAGAACUAAACUUAAGGUAUAACCCAACCCCAAGGCUAGUAGGCUCAAGGUAAGAGAGUGAAUGCUUUGGCUAAAGUGCCAGAAGCUACAGCAAGAAUAAAAGUUGGAACGCCACCACAAUGGAAACUUAGAAACCCC